CAUCCUCAAAAGCGUUAAACACAACACCAAACACCAAAACUAAUCUCCAAAAUCACCGAAAAACCUUUUCCCGUCUCCCUCUCUCCCUCUUUCGAGCUCAAGCUACUUCUCUGAUCAUCUUCUCCAUCAAAGGAGUUGGAAUAAUUAAUGGCAGGUAGAAAUAGAAUGCCAAGACAUGGAAUAGAUAACGGUGGUGGUAGAAGAGGUUAUCCACCAGAUGGUCCAUAUGCAAGAGGACCACCACCACCACCGCAUCAAGUACCAAGACCAGUACCACAUCCAGCUCUGUUAGAAGAAGAAUUAGAAAUGCAACAUGUUGAGAUUCGUCGACUUGUUACCGAUAAUCGUAGAUUAAUUGAUGACCGCAUUGGUCUUCAGCGUGAAUUAGCUGGUGCUAAAGAGGAGAUACAUAGGUUGAACAUGAUAAUUGGUGAUAUUAGGGCUGAGAAAGAUGCUCAUUCUAGGGAACUUAUUGAGAAAGGAUUGAAACUUGAAGCUGAUUUGAGAGCGACUGAGCCGUUGAGAAAUGAGGCGAUGCAGUUGAGGAAUGAAGUUCAGAAAUCGAAUAAUUCGAGGAAGGAUUUGGCUGGGCAAGUAGAGAAAUUGACACAAGAGUUGGGAAGGGCACGUGCUGAUAAUCAGCAGAUUCCGAUGAUGAGAGCUGAGAUUGAUGGAAUGCAUCAGGAACUUAUGCGUGCAAGGUCUGCUUUUGAGUAUGAGAAGAAGGCGAAUGUUGAGCUAAUGGAGCAGAGGCAAGCAAUGGAGAAGAAUUUGGUUUCUAUGGCUCGGGAAGUUGAAAAGCUGCGUGCAGAUUUUGGUGGUGAUAAGGCUCAUGGAAGACCACCAUGGACUGCUGGUGCACCUUAUGGGAUGAAACAUGGGAGCCCCGAAGGAGGUUUUCCUACUCCGUAUGGUGAUGGAUAUGGCCUUCAUCAGAUGCCAUCUGGUGCUGCACAGAGUGCUGACAAAGGUCCAAUGUACGGCGUGGGUUCUGGUUCAUGGGCUGGUCUGGAUAAGCAUCGUAUUGGGCGUCGCUGAGAAUAUUAUUUGUUGCUUCUUUGCAACAAGCAAUCGAAUGAUCUUUCUCUAAAGCUCAGCUUGGAAAUUUAGAUUCAUCAAGGGAUCGUGGUGACUCAGUUUAAGGUAUCGCGUUCCACCGAAUUUCGGUCCUCACAAAUUUAUGUGUAAGAAGGGUGAAGGCUAUGUAGUUCUCUGACAAAAUAGGACAUGAUGGUUAGCCGACGAUAGCAGUCUCAUUCUAUCCGCUCCUUCAAAUUUCACAUCCUUCUUGGAAACUGGUACAGGCUAAUGUGGACCUGUAAUUCACAACAUUCCGUAUUGAACUAGGUACCAUUUUCACUCUCAUCUACUUCAGCUUGGGUUUUGUUUCCCCUUGUGGAUACGACCUUGGCCUAAGUUCAGUUGGCCUAAGACAUAGCCUUCAGCUUGGGUGUGGGUUUUGUAAUCAUACCCACAGCCAGUUCAUCCUUCUCGGCAAAUAGCAAAAUUGGGCCAAAGUAUUACAAAUCCUCGAGUUCAAAGUAAUCCCAUCCACCAUUCUCUAUGAACUUCUCCGGGAUAUCUGAUUAUUUUUCGUUCCAGUAUGGCCUUCCAGUCUAGUUCUUGAGUAUUCAAUAGUAUAGUACUUGACGUAACCAUCUUUAAGAGAAUCUUUUAGAUUUUUGUUAUAGAGAAAGCAUUUUAAGGGGCACCUAAAGAAGAAAAAAUCACCGUGUAUUCUUUUGGAUCUUUUAUCCUUAAUUUCUUCUCAUGUUUUUGAUGGGUUA